AGAGUUUGAUCCUGGCUCAGGACGAACGCUGGCGGCGCGCCUAACACAUGCAAGUCGAACGGAGCUUAAAGAGCUUGCUUUUUAAGCUUAGUGGCGAACGGGUGAGUAACGCGUGAGUAACCUGCCCUGGAGUGGGGGACAACAGUUGGAAACGACUGCUAAUACCGCAUAAGCCCACGGAUCCGCAUGGAUCUGCGGGAAAAGGAUUUAUUCGCUUCAGGAUGGACUCGCGUCCAAUUAGCUAGUUGGUGAGGUAACGGCCCACCAAGGCGACGAUUGGUAGCCGGACUGAGAGGUUGAACGGCCACAUUGGGACUGAGACACGGCCCAGACUCCUACGGGAGGCAGCAGUGGGGAAUAUUGCACAAUGGGGGAAACCCUGAUGCAGCGACGCCGCGUGGAGGAAGAAGGUUUUCGGAUUGUAAACUCCUGUCGUUAGGGACGAUAAUGACGGUACCUAACAAGAAAGCACCGGCUAACUACGUGCCAGCAGCCGCGGUAAAACGUAGGGUGCAAGCGUUGUCCGGAAUUACUGGGUGUAAAGGGAGCGCAGGCGGACCGGCAAGUUGGAAGUGAAAACUAUGGGCUCAACCCAUAAAUUGCUUUCAAAACUGCUGGCCUUGAGUAGUGCAGAGGUAGGUGGAAUUCCCGGUGUAGCGGUGGAAUGCGUAGAUAUCGGGAGGAACACCAGUGGCGAAGGCGGCCUACUGGGCACCAACUGACGCUGAGGCUCGAAAGUGUGGGUAGCAAACAGGAUUAGAUACCCUGGUAGUCCACACCGUAAACGAUGAUUACUAGGUGUUGGAGGAUUGACCCCUUCAGUGCCGCAGUU
rnacentral:rRNA from 1 species